UACGAAGGGGGCUAGCGUUGUUCGGAUUUACUGGGCGUAAAGCGCACGUAGGCGGAUUUUUAAGUCAGAGGUGAAAUCCCAAGGCUCAACCUUGGAACUGCCUUUGAUACUGGGGAUCUUGAGUCCGGGAGAGGUGAGUGGAACUGCGAGUGUAGAGGUGAAAUUCGUAGAUAUUCGCAAGAACACCAGUGGCGAAGGCGGCUCACUGGCCCGGUACUGACGCUGAGGUGCGAAAGCGUGGGGAGCAAACAGG
rnacentral:rRNA from 1 species